rnacentral:rRNA from 1 species
GGCUCAGAUUGAACGCUGGCGGCGUGCUUAACACAUGCAAGUCGAGCGGUAACGCGGGGGCAACCCUGGCGACGAGCGGCGAACGGGUGAGUAUUACAUGGGAAUCUGCCUAGUAGUGGGGAAUAACCCGGGGAAACUCGGGCUAAUACCGCAUACGUCCUAAGGGAGAAAGCGGGGGAUCGCAAGACCUCGCGCUAUUGGAUGAGCCCAUGUCGGAUUAGCUAGUUGGUGAGGUAAUGGCUCACCAAGGCGACGAUCCGUAGCUGGUCUGAGAGGACGGCCAGCCACACUGGGACUGAGACACGGCCCAGACUCCUACGGGAGGCAGCAGUGGGGAAUAUUGGACAAUGGGGGAAACCCUGAUCCAGCGACGCCGCGUGUGUGAAGAAGGCCUGCGGGUUGUAAAGCACUUUCGAUGGGUACGAAAUAUGCAGGGCUAAUACCCCUGCAGGCUGACGUUACCUAAUGAAGAAGCACCGGCUAACUCUGUG